GGAACACCGCAGUCAAUUCCUAACAACACUAAAGUGUCAGUUCUGUUCGUGACACCAAGGGCUGUUUUUCUUUUUCUCAUAUAAUGUUGAGGCAACUGGGAAGAAUGAGGUAGAGAAAACAUGUGUCUUAAACCUUACAUUCUGGUAGGGAGAGACAAGCAAUAGACAAGUCUAAGAUGCCUGCAGCCCUCUUGGACCACCAUAUGGAAUCUACAAGUUCAAGAUGAUCUAGUGCAAUAGAAUGAGAGAGAAGGAUCCUGAGCCCUGACAUCAUGGAGCCACCACUCCAGCUCUGGACCAACUAUCUAUAUUUGCAGAUAAAUAAAUCAACUUCAAUUUUGUUUAA